GUUAAGUCCCGCAACGAGCGCAACCCCUACCUCUAGUUGCCAUCAAGUUUAGAUUUUAUCUAGAUGUUGGGUACUUUAUAGGGACUGCCGGUGAUAAUCCGGAGGAAGGUGGGGAUGACGUCAAGUCCUCAUGGCCCUUAUGGGCUGGGCUACACACGUGCUACAAUGGUGGUUACAAUGGGUUGCGAAGUCGCGAGGCGGAGCUAAUCCCAAAAGGCCAUCUCAGUUCGGAUUGCACUCUGCAACUCGAGUGCAUGAAGUUGGAAUCGCUAGUAAUCGCGGAUCAGCAUGCCGCGGUGAAUACGUUCUCGGGCCUUGUACACACCGCCCGUCACACCAUGGGAGUUGGUUUUGCUUGAAGACGGUGCGCUAACCGUAAGGAGGCAGCCGGCCACGGUAGGGUCAGCGACUGGGGUGAAGUCGUAACAAGGUAGCCGUAGGGGAACCU
rnacentral:rRNA from 1 species